AGGGGUGUGGCGCAACUGGUAGCGCAACGGCCUCCAAAGCCGUCGGUUGCAGGUUCGAGUCCUGUCGCCCCUGC
rnacentral:tRNA from 1 species